rnacentral:rRNA from 1 species
GACGAACGCUGGCGGCGUGCUUAACACAUGCAAGUCGAACGGAAAGGCCCCUUCGGGGGUACUCGAGUGGCGAACAGGUGAGUAACACGUGAGUAACCUGCCCUUGACUUCGGGAUAACUUCAGGAAACUGGGGCUAAUACCGGAUAGGAAUCCUUGCUGCAUGGUGGGGGUUGGAAAGCUUCGGCGGUUUUGGAUGGACUCGCGGCUUAUCAGCUUGUUGGUGGGGUAGUGGCUUACCAAGGCUUUGACGGGUAGCCGGCCUGAGAGGGCGACCGGCCACAUUGGGACUGAGAUACGGCCCAGACUCCUACGGGAGGCAGCAGGGGGGAAUAUUGCACAAUGGGCGGAAGCCUGAUGCAGCAACGCCGCGUGCGGGAGGACGGCCUUCGGGUUGUAAACCGCUUUCAGCAGGGGCGAAGCUUGUGGUGACGGUACCUGCAGAAGAAGCACCGGCUAACUACGUG